rnacentral:tRNA from 1 species
GGCCUGAUGGUCUAGUAGUAUGAUUCCUUGUUAGGGCUGUACAGCAACUUCGAGGAGGUCCCGGGUUCAAUUCCCGGUCAGGCCC